rfam:Oryctolagus cuniculus chromosome 20, whole genome shotgun sequence.
UGGUUUCCUGCUUCAACAGUGCUUGGAGGAAACCC